rnacentral:rRNA from 1 species
GAACGCUAGCUACAGGCUUAACACAUGCAAGUCGAGGGGAAACGAUAUUGGAAGCUUGCUUCUGAUAGGGCGUCGGACCGGCGCACGGGUGAGUAACGCGUAUCCAACCUGCCAUCACUUGGGGAUAACCUUGCGAAAGUAAGACUAAUACCCAAUGACGUCUCUAGAAGACAUCUGAAAGAGAUUAAAGAUUUAUCGGUGAUGGAUGGGGAUGCGUCUGAUUAGCUUGUUGGCGGGGUAACGGCCCACCAAGGCGACGAUCAGUAGGGGUUCUGAGAGGAAGGUCCCCCACAUUGGAACUGAGACACGGUCCAAACUCCUACGGGAGGCAGCAGUGAGGAAUAUUGGUCAAUGGACGAGAGUCUGAACCAGCCAAGUAGCGUGCAGGAUGACGGCCCUAUGGGUUGUAAACUGCUUUUAUAAGGGAAUAAAGUGGGAGUCGUGACUCUUUUUGCAUGUACCUUAUGAAUAAGGACCGGCUAAUUCCGUG